rnacentral:rRNA from 1 species
UACGUAGGGUGCGAGCGUUGUCCGGAAUUAUUGGGCGUAAAGAGCUCGUAGGCGGUCUGUCGCGUCGAUCGUGAAAACUUGGGGCUUAACCCUGAGCUUGCGGUCGAUACGGGCAUGACUGGAGUUCGGCAGGGGAGACUGGAAUUUACGGUGUAGCAGUGAAAUGCGUAGAGAUCGUAAGGAAGACCAGUGGCGAAGGCGGGUCUCUGGACAGUUCCUGACACUGAGGCACGAAGGCCAGGGGAGCAAACGGG